rnacentral:lncRNA from 10 species
GGAAAAUUAAGUCAUAUAUGCAACAAAUCUCUUUUUAUGAUGCAUCUCAGGACAGAACAUUCUUCAUGGAUAGAAUUCUGUUCUACAUGGAAGUGGGCAGAUAAAUGGGGCAAACUGUGGUGGAAUGGCAAAGGAGGUAAGGUUACUUUCCAUUGCUCCCGUUUACUUUUUUUUUCAUUUACUCCUAAGCACCGUCUCUCUCUUUCAUUUCAGGUAUUCAGUAUCCUGUUAAUUGUAAUCCGAUCUCCCCUGGAGAGAAAAUGCUGCUCACCUUCAUGAUUUUGUCUGAAAUCUGGAUGAUCUUUUGCCUGGAUAAUGGUCAACACUCAAUUUGGCUUUGAAGAGUCAGGCCCACAAUCUCAAUUGUGAUAUAGAGGAGAGCCCACAUUUCUACUCAGAUUUUUGCUACAAAAAUAGAAUUCGUAUCUAAAAUAAUAAAGAAUUAAUUGAUAUCUCAUAUAAGUUGAAUCAUGCAAUAUCUGUCCUUCUGUGACUGGCUUAUUUUACUUAGCAUAACUCCCUCUAGGUUCAUCUAUUUCACCUAUAUGAUGUAUCUAAGAUACUUAAACGCAUAGAAGCUGAAAAUAGGAUGAUGGUUGCUAGAGGUUGUCAGGAGGGGAAGAAUGGGGAAUUGUUGCUUAACAGGUAUAAAAUUUCAAUUAUGAAAGAUGAAUAAGUUCUAGAAAUCUUCUGUACAACACAGUGACUAUAGGUAACAAUAUGGUAUUAGACACAGUAAUUUGUUAAGAGGAUAAAUCUCAAGUUGACUGUUCUUAUCACAAAAAAAACAACAUAAAAGACAAUGACAAAAACAAAACAUAAAAGAAUACAAGGGCAUUUUGGGAGGUGAUAGAUAUGUUUAAUAACUUGAUUUCAGUGAUGGUAUCUCUGGCUGCAUGAAUUGGUCCAAACUGAUCAAACUUGCAGUAUGGUUUUUCUGUAUAUUAAUUAUACCUCAAUAAAGCUGUUAAAAAUUAAUUCAUGCUGAUAUAAACUUUAAAAAAUUUGAGAUGCAAUUAAAAUACAAGAUUUAAAGAAAUGUGAACACUGGUUGAAAAUUGGUGAGAAAACAUCUAAUUCUGCCAGUCAUCUCUGUUUCUCAUUUAUGUCAUGCUACUUCUAUCUAGAUCAGAGCAAACUCAUUCUGAAACUGUCUUGAUUUUAGCUUCUGUCUUUCCAGGACCCAUCGCCAGGAGCUGCUUUCCACUUAUAGACACAAGUGGCUCACUCACUCUUCUAGGUGUUAGCUAGCAGGGGCAGAGCUUUCUCAGGUAUUUUAGCAUUCGUUGUGUUGGAAGGUCUCUGCUAUGUUCCUGAAAAUUCAUUUUAUCCCCUUUUUCCUUUGCUACAUAGAAAGAGGAAGAAACCGUUAUGUAGAUUGUUCUGUGUGAAUCCUCUUAUGAUUUUUAUCACCAUAAAACCUUUAUGAUUUUAUCACCAGCUUCCCUGCAGUUUCAUUUCACUUUUUUUUUUUACCUUAUUAGUGUGUUAUUGUUAAUUUAAAAAUAAAGAGAUGACUCACUCAUUAAACACUGCUCUGCUGGUUUAAUGUUCCCCUAGCAAUGGUCCUAAAAGGUUUCCAGAUCAUUUACAAACCUACAUCUGAUUCAAUCUGAUUUUAGUUACAGUCUGAGCUUAUUAUUACAUACAUUUUAAAGCAUAUUUAAACAUAGCAUCAUUUGUAGUUUAAAAACAGAGAUGUAAAAUAACUUUGAAAAGAGGAAACUGAAGCUUUGUAAUCAUGUAGAUACACUACCUGAAUGGCUUACUGAUAAUUUCACUUUUUAAGUACAUUUUACUAAAAUUAGUCCGGAUGUUUUUGUUUGGUUUGUAAGGUGUAUAACUAAGUGUCAGUUCCUUAAGGGAGUUCAGUCCUCAUGGAGUUUAUAAUCAAGUAAGAGAGUCAGGUGAAAUGAUGAAAUGAAAACACUCAUCAAAUAUAAAUGACGUUCUUUAAAUGCACCUCUGUUAGACUGACUCACUGAAAUCAAACCUUGCCAUUCCCUAGGGAACAUUUUCUAAUUUAUGGCCAGGACAUGCUGAAUGCUCACAGCUAGUAGAUUAUUUUUUACUAAGUCUGCAGUGAGGCACCUGCUUGCCAAGAAUUAGUUGUUGGUUCCCAAACCUAUUUAUGACAGUUGUAUUUAUUUUGGUAAUAAUAUAUUACAAGCAAAUAUUAUAGAAACUAACGACAUUGUGAAUAAAAGAGUGUCUUAUUUCUAUGAAGACUAAGUUGAAGUCUUUGGAAAGGUUAUAAUAAAGGUAAUAAAAAUAAUCAAAUUAUGUGUGGGCAAGAUGACUACAAAAGAUUAGAGAAAAUCUUAAAUUUUCAAAAGGUUAUAUACUCUGAUUAUUGUAAGAAUCUUUAGAUUUCCAUUGUAUUUAAAUAAAAUACUAAAGCCUAAGGAUUACUGCAAAUAAGAUGUCUUAAGACUUCAACCAGCAGAUUCAUUCUUUAAUUAAAAAAAGCCUUUGUUAUAUAUAAGUACAUUGGCAAAUGUAUACAUUUUUAGAUAAAAUAAAAAAAUUAAAACCUAUAUGUUUUUGACUUAUCCUUUUAACAAACUUUUAAAAUUAACUUACUAUUAGCUUUGCCCAUGUAUGCUAAGAGGACUUUUACAAUGACAAGUAAGAAGAAUACAUUGAUGAUACCUGUUUUGGUCCAGACAUUUCCAGAGCCAUGGAAUAGCAUGAAAAAAAAAAAAUCUUCGAAAUAUAAUUUAUUCCUUCGAAUUGGAGUCAAACUUAGAAGCAUCCAUCAAUGGAUGAAAGGAUAAAGAAAAUAUGGCAUAUAUAGACAAUGUAAUACUAUUCAGUCUUAAAAAAGAAGAAAAUUCUGGCGUUUGUGACAACAUGGAUGAACAUGAAG